CCUACGGGGGACAGCAGUGAGGAAUAUUGGUCAAUGGGCGCUAGCCUGAACCAGCCAAGUAGCGUGAAGGAUGACUGCCCUAUGGGUUGUAAACUUCUUUUAUAGGGGAAUAAAGUGCAGUAUGUAUACUGCUUUGCAUGUACCUUAUGAAUAAGGAUCGGCUAACUCCGUGCCAGCAGCCGCGGUAAUACGGAGGUACCGAGCGUUAUCCGGAUUUAUUGGGUUUAAAGGGAGCGUAGGCGGGUUGUUAAGUCAGGUGUGAAAGUUUGCGGCUCAACCGUAAAAUUGCCGUUGAUACUGGCAGCCUUGAGUACAGUAGCGGUAGGCGGCAUUCGUUGUGUAGCGGU
rnacentral:rRNA from 1 species